rnacentral:rRNA from 1 species
UACGGAGGGUGCAAGCGUUAAUCGGAAUUACUGGGCGUAAAGCGCGCGUAGGCGGCUUGUUAAGUCGGAUGUGAAAUCCCCGGGCUCAACCUGGGAACUGCAUUCGAUACUGCCUGACUAGAGUGUGGUAGAGGGAAGUGGAAUUCCGGGUGUAGCGGUGAAAUGCGUAGAUAUCCGGAGGAACACCAGUGGCGAAGGCGGCUUCCUGGACCAACACUGACGCUGAGGUGCGAAAGCGUGGGGAGCAAACAGGAU